CUCUCUUUGUGGCUCCCUCCCCCCAGCCUUGCCUGCCCUCAGGGCUUAGCAUCGGUCUGGUAGCCAGAGCCUUGCCUAACAUGAAACUGGCACAAAUGAAAAGGCGGAUAAAUAAACGUCCAGGAAUCUUGUUUGUCAUAUUUAAUCCAUCACGUUUCCCAAACAGCCUGGUCAAAAAAUUCUGCAGCAGUGUUUACAUCAUCCUGAUUGAAAGCUACAUCCGUGCAUAUAAAUACCAUUCCUGGAUAUAGCUCCAGUUUCACACGGAGGCAGCUAUCAGCCUUGUCUGCCCUCACCACUGAAAGAAGAAAAAAAAAUGUUUGAAUUUCUUCAUCCCCCCAUUCCUGCCCAAUCCAGCACUCGCACAUUCAUUUUUUUUUCCCCUCCUCUUCCUUAAGUAUCCCAGUGAGCAUUGCCCAAUGCUGUGAUUUCUGGGUAUGCUCAGUGAGCGAUGGGCAAGUGGAAUUCAUUAGACCACGGGGAAAUGGUUAAUCAGUGCGCUAAUGAAAGUGGCACAACACAAGCAUUGAAACAUGCAACCUGGCAGGGCUUGGUGUCAUCACAUGCCAUACACCUGGCACUUGGCUGGGAGCAACAACCAUGUCCCUAGCUGGGAAAGCAAACCAGGAGCACAGGUCAAACCAAUGCAAAUGAAUGAGAGAUAUUUCCCACUUUAAUGACCAGGAGGCAAAACUGGAAGAGGAAAGAAGCAGUUCCACCAUUUGACCAAGGAGAGAGACAGUUGUUGAUCCUACAUCAAGACAAACAAUGGCAAAGUGAUAACGAUGAUGAAGCUCAGAAAGGAACACAGAGAGUCCCAAACCUCCCCAUGCCAUGAUCCACAAAACAUUUCCCAACAGAAUGAACAGAGAAGGGAAAAAUCAAAAAGGAAAAAGAUGGAAAGAAAAAGAAUUCCAACCUGCCUGGGAUAAGAUGGUACAUCUUGUCACAAACAGAGUGUUUAACUUACGGCUUCUUUUGUUAAAAGAAAACCAAUCAAAUCUGUCUGUUUCCAUUCCAACCUCCUUCCCUCCACUUCAGCUUAUUUUUCCUGUGGCCAAAAUUGUUCAUCGUGCUGGAUGCAAAUCAUCCCCUGCAAAUUGCAUUUUUCCAUGGUAAAUGUUUUCACCAGAGAAUGUCCCGCUAUGCUGCCUCCAGAGGUUUUCAUCCCAUUUGGACACACAUAAUGGCGUGAAACACUUUGCUCACUCAGCUCCAUUUGCAGAGUGAACCCAACGUUGCAAUGUACUGUUUGUACGUUAAUGCAUUGCAAUGACACUGGCACACUUAUUUGGUGGAAAUGGGCACAAUAUUUGAUUGCACACUUGGCAGCACUGUCCAGAGGUUGGACUUUGACUUCUAGUCUGUCUGUCUCCAGUUUCUUUGCAAAGGCUUUGAAAAACUGGGCUGUGACCCAGCCAUCCCCUUAGGUUUGGGCUUGUUUCUGAGUUCUUAUAGUUGAAAACAUCCAGCUGCAAAAGGAAAUAGCACCUGCUUUAUUCAGCUUAGCAGCACAGACAUUUCCCAGGAGCCUCCUUGUGCCCCUUGGAAUAAAAAUAAGGUUGUCAGAUGAUGCACCACAGAUAAAUCAGCAUUGUGACUGCCAGAAAAUACCCACCUCUCUAUUUUUAUAGGUGUCAUUAGCAUCCCUGCUUCUGAAAUUAGGACCUUACAGAGACAUAGGACACUGCUUUCUCAAAUAACAGCAAACCAUAUAACUUUAUAAGAAGUUUUUAAUCCCAGUAAAAGAAGCGAGACCGUAAACCCAUUUUUACCCUUCCUCCUUCACCUCUUGCCUACUCAAAAGCAGGAGCUGCUUCUGGCCUCCAGAUGUCCAACCCACAAGCUCUUCCCUUUUGCUAUUUUUGCUGCACGCUUUGAUCUUUUGCAAAUGCUGCCUGGGGGGGAGUAGGGGCUGGGGCUGUUGAUGCUGCACCCUGGGCUGCUCCAUCCAUGCCCCAGCCAAGCUCCUCAUCUUCCUCUGCCCUUGCUGCAAAGGGAGAUCUCUCCUGGCCAACAACGUCCCUGUAAGGACUGAGAACGUCUGACUAAUGCAAGAAAGAAUGGCUGGAUCCCAUUUUAUUUUUUGAGGGAGCUACCUUAGAGAUGGGAAAGUGAAGUACCCAUUGAAGUACCAACUGAAGUAAAGGGAUAUUCAGAGUAAGAAGUGACUUUUGUGAUGUUUCCAUAGGGCAAAGUAAAAUGUGAGACGAUAUUGAUGAAAAUGUGCAAAAUGCAAGAGAAGUGGUGUUUUCCUGCUGCCUCCCAGCUAGGUCUUCUGGGAUGGGCUGAAGUCACCCAGCACAGAGGUGAAGUGUUUGGAUGGGGAACAGGGCACCACUUUGAUGGAAGCUAAGUUACUUACAGAGGGAGGACAUGUUGUCAGAUUCCUUUCAAAGCCCAAGGUAGCAUUGCUAAGGUGGAGAUCAACUCUUGAACAGAGAUCAGAACCACCUAGGAUCAGGGAAAAACAAAAAGAAGAAAACAAGCAGGGGUGACGUGAAGUAG
ensembl:lncRNA